CCGAUCGAAUCCAGUUCAGACUUUAUAACUUUCUCAACUCACCUGUUUCUACAUAUUUUUCAGCACAGCACUUGAGUUUCUGGUGCAUUCACUUACAGUGUACAAGACGCUCAUCAGAUCCUCCUCACUCCCUUUCCUGCUGUCAGACUGGUUCUUGCUGGGAAGCAGGAAAAGCUCCGCAGCUGUCGGGAGUCCAGGGAAAACAGCCACCAGCAGCUGCUCAGCAGGAAUAUCAGCUAUCUAUAAGAAGAAAAAAGAGGAUCUGAAGGUAAAACAUCUGUCUCCAGAUGAAGCUUCAAAAGCCACCAGAAGUAGGUGAGGGUUCGAGAGUAAGAGGGCCAGACCACUGCAGUCAAGUUCACUUCCUUGUUCUUAAUAACCACAAAUGGAGCUAGCAACUGGAUAUGUUCAACAGGAGCUGAAACACAAACAAGGACAUAUUUAGUACAGUGAAUUCAAGCUCACCAGUUGGCAAGACCAUUCAUUUCACUUCUGCUUAACAGCAAUUGGGGUUUUUGUAUUUUAGUUCUUUGCUCUUGUGUUUCUACCCAUACUCAUACUGUAUGUAUGAUUGUGUAUGGUAAAUCUAUGACAAUGCAAAGCAACUUUAAUAUCAUGUGAUAUUGCUGAAAAAUAAAUAGAACACAUUAUAUGACUGGGAUAUUAUUAGUAGCUCACUUGCAGACAAUAGGUCCAGAUGCAGAUGGGUGCUCAUACAGUAUGAUUUCUAUUUUACAAACAACAAACUAGUACACCACUGAGACCUUGACCUAGAAGUUAUUGAUGAAUGAAUGAAUGAAUGAAUGAAUAAAUU